ACUCUCAGAUCGGACUAAGGUGCGGGAAUGCCGAUUAAAAAGAGACUUAUUAUUAUUGUCCAGGCGUGCAGAUACCCGAAACACAAGAAAGUUGGAAAAUAUUGGCGCUACAAUUUGGAAAUUCGUGGAACUUUGAUAAUUGCAUUGGAGCUGUAGAUGGAAAGCAUAUCACAAAUAUUUGACAAAUAAUUUGACCGUGUACAGGGCCCUUAAGAAAUAAGAAAUUAGAGAAAUUUAUAUAUAUAAUUAAGUCAGUAUCCAAUUAAGUCGGAACCAUAUGGGAAACGUUUUUAUUCUUAGUUUUAUGAAGAAUAGUUAAUCUUCUUAAAAGGUUGUGCAUGGUUUAAAACCUCGAAUGCACUCAUCAGAUAUCAAAAUUUGUUAGUUGUAUACGAGGUAUGUAAAAAUAUAAAUUUUUGCUCAAGAGUAAAGUUUCUUCAGUUAGUCCACUUUGGUGUUUCCUUGCCACGUUCCCAAUAAAAAUCUACUCAUAAUAUAGAUACGUCCUCAUUAAUCGAACUAUAUUAUUACAUGCUUAAUGUUAGGAGGUUAUUUGUAGACCAAAUUCGACUUACCUUAAUUGUUUCAUGUGAAUGGUCUGAUCGUACCGUUGUUGGUAGAUCACUACCAAAUGGGUCAUCAAUACAAAUACACGUUGCAUUGGGCGUGAUAUUAGGAUGAGGUAACUCUAUUUCCAUACUUUGCACAUAUUGACAUAUCCUAUUACAAUAGUCAUAUAUUUCGCACAAGGACUUUUUAGCUGCUGCCAUCGCUCCUGCUAUUUUAUAUAUCAAAACUACCGCAGAUAAUGUUCUUUGUGACAUCUUCGAUUGCUGAUUAUUAAAAAAAUCAUCGGAAACCGUCAACAUUUUGACUACUAUGUUGUCAUUUAGUGCUCUUUCAAUUGCCAAACCAAAGUUUAAAGUACAUCCCGAAGAAGCUGGUACUAUCACUAGACUUCCCAUAAUAUGGUUAUUGGAGAGUUCUCGUAGAGUGCGUAAUAUGAUGCUAGAUGCUGGAGCUGUGAAAUUGUCACCUAUAGCAAAUUAGAAAGACAUAGGUCUUCUCAAUGACCUCAGAGAAUAGGUAACUGCAUUUAGUGGUGUUUAUAACAAACUAUAUUGUGUACGUUAGACUAAUAAAAAUAUAAAAAUAAUAAAUUCUUUUGAAAUUUAA